ACGCUGGCGGCGCGCCUAACACAUGCAAGUCGAACGAGCGAGAGAGAGCUUGCUUUCUCGAGCGAGUGGCGAACGGGUGAGUAACGCGUGAGGAACCUGCCUCAAAGAGGGGGACAACAGUUGGAAACGACUGCUAAUACCGCAUAAGCCCACGGUGCCGCAUGGCACAGAGGGAAAAGGAGCAAUCCGCUUUGAGAUGGCCUCGCGUCUGAUUAGCUAGUUGGUGAGGUAACGGCCCACCAAGGCAACGAUCGGUAGCCGGACUGAGAGGUUGAACGGCCACAUUGGGACUGAGACACGGCCCAGACUCCUACGGGAGGCAGCAGUGGGGAAUAUUGCACAAUGGGGGAAACCCUGAUGCAGCGACGCCGCGUGGAGGAAGAAGGUCUUCGGAUUGUAAACUCCUGUUGUUGAGGAAGAUAAUGACGGUACUCAACAAGGAAGUGACGGCUAACUACGUG
rnacentral:rRNA from 1 species